GUGCUUGUUUUGCCAGUGCAUGUACAAAAGUGGAAUGACACAGAGAAGGUUAGCGUGGCGCCUGUGCAAGGAUGGCCUGCACAUUCAUGAAGCAUUCGUGUUUUUA
ensembl:snRNA U6 U6 spliceosomal RNA